GAAGUAAUAUGAUAGGAGAGGAGAGUGGACCACAGGAGUAAGGAAUGGAGGAGGGGCACCAGGGGAAGGUGGUAGGCAGGUGAGAAGAGGUAAAAGGUCAGAGUAGGGAACAGACAAGGAGGGAAGAUUUGUUUGCCAGAAGGAUAAAUCGAUAUUUAAUCCAUCAGGUUGGGACGCUACCCAGACAGAAUAUAAACUGUAGCUCCUCCACCCAGUGGGUGGCCUCACCUUGUGCCAAGACGACGUGAACAGAAAUGGGAAUAGGAAUUAAGUCGUUUUUUCCGCUUCUGCAGGAUGGUACUCAACGAAGCAGUAUCCCAAUUUACGACACGUCUCACUACUGUAGAGGAGGUCACAUCAAGAGCACCUGGCACAAUAGACAACCCCAGCUGAUCUGCAGGUGAAGUGUUACCUCACCUGAAAGUACUGUUUGCAGGUUAUUCUGGACCAGCACUCAGUCCUGGAUUCAAGUUCUGUUGAACUACCAUUCUGUGUGUUCAAGUCCUGAGUUCUUCUGAACCAGCACUCAUUGCUGAGUCUGGGAUUCGAGCUCUGUGUGCUCAGGUCCUGAGUAAGUGUGCUCUUAGUUCGAAUAUUCCCUGUGUUAUUCUCUGAAUAAAUCUUCAUUGGUAAGUGCUACUAUCGAGCCCAUAAGGCUGUAAGAUAUAGGAUCAGAAUUAUGCACUGGACACAUCUAGUCUGCUCUGCCAUUUCAUUAUGGCUGAUCCAUUUCCCUCUCAGCCCAAUCUCCUGCCUUCUCCCCAUACCCCUUCAUGUCUAGACUAAUAACAAAUCUAUCAAGCUCUGUCUUAAAUAUACUCAAUGACUUGACCUCCACAGCUAGUUGUGGCAACAAAUUCCACAGAUUCUCUGCUCUCUGGUUAUGGAAAUUCCUCCUCAUCUCCAUUCUAAAUGGACAUCCUUCUAUUCUGAGGCUGUGUCCUCUUGUCUUAGACUGCCCCACCAUAGGAAGCAUCCACUCCACAUGCACUCUGUCUAGGCCUUUUAACAUUUGAUAGGUUUCAGUGAGAUCCCCUACAUUCUUCUGAAUUCCAGUGCCUACAGGCCCAAAGCCAUCAAACACUCCUUAUAUGAUAAGCCUUUCCAUUCAGGAAUUAUUUUCAUGAACCUCCUACGAGCCCUCUCAGCACAUCCUUUCUUAGAUAAGAAGCCCCAAAACUGCUCACAAUACUCCAAGUGAGGCUCACCAGUGCUUUAUAAAGCCUCAAUAUUACAUCCUUGCUUUUCUAUUCCAGUCCUCUUGAAUGCUCACCACCAACUCAACCUGCAAAUUAACCCUAACUCCCAAGCUCCUUGGCACCUUUUAAUUUUUUAAUUUUCUCUCCAUUUAGAAAAUAGUCUGUCCAUUUAUUUCUUCUACCAAAGUGCUUGACCACACACUUCCUGACAGUGAAUUUCAUCUCCCAAUCCUUUGCCUAUUCUCCUAAUCUGUCCAAGUCCUUCUGUAGCCUCUCCACUUCCUCAAAACUACCUGCCUCUCCAUCUAUCUAUAUAUCACCGCAAACUUGACCACAAAGCCAUCAAUUCUGUCAUCCAAGUCAGUGGCAUACAAUAUAAAAAGAAUCGGUCCCAACACAGAUCCCUGUGGAACAUCACUCGUUACCGGCAGCCAACCAGAAAAGGCUAACGUUAUUCCCACUCUUUGCUUCUUGCCAAUCAGCCAAUACUCUAUCCAUGCUAGUAUACUUCCUGUAAUACCAAGGGUGUUUAACUUGAUAAGCAGCUUCAUAUGUGGCACCUUGUGAAAGGCCUUCUGAAAAUCCAAGUACACAAGAUCACUGAUUUUCCUGCUCUACUCUCUAUAUCCCCAUGACUGUGUCGCUAGGCAUAGCUCAAAUACCAUCUAUAAACUUGCUGAUGAUACGACCAUUGUUGGUAGAAUCUCAGAUGGUGACAAGAACAGGAGUGAGAAAUGCCAACUAGUGGAGUGGUGCUGCAGCAACAACCUGGCACUCAACGUCAGUAAGACAAAAGUGGUGAUUGUGGACUUCAGGAAGGGUAAGACGAAGGAACCUCAUAGAAGGAUCAGGAGUGGAGAGAGUGAGCAGUUUCAAGUUCUUGGUGUCAAAUCUCUGAGGAUCUAACUUGGUCCCAACAUAUCAGUGUAGUUAUAAAGAAGACAAGACAGUGGCUAUACUUCAUUAGGAGUCCGAAGAGAUUUGGUAAUUCAACAAAUAACUCAAAAACUUCUCAAAAAGAUGUACUGUGGAGAGCAUUCUGACUGGUAUUGGGGGGGGGGGGUCACUGCACAGGACUGAAAGAAGCUAUAGAGGGCCAUAAAUUUAGUCAGCUCCAUCCUGGAUACUAGCCUACAAAGUACCCAGAAUAUCUUCAAGGAGCAGUGUCUCAGAAAGGCAGCGUCCAUUAUUAAGGAUCUCCAGCAUCCAGAGCAUACCCUUUUCUCAUUGUUGCCAUCAGGCUGGAGGUACAGAAGCCUGAAGGCACACACUCUGCAGUUCAGGAACAGCUUCUUCCCCUCUGCCAUCCAAUUCCCAAAUGGGCAUUGAACCCUUGGACACUACCUUACUUUUUAAAUAUAUUUUAUUUCUGUUUGUUGCAUGAUUUUUAAUCUA